rnacentral:piRNA from 1 species
UCUGUCUACAGUAUUGAACUAUUAAUGGGAC